UAGUCCACGCCCUAAACGAUGUCAACUAGUUGUUGGGGAAGGAGACUUCUUUAGUAACGUAGCUAACGCGUGAAGUUGACCGCCUGGGGAGUACGGCCGCAAGGUUAAAACUCAAAGGAAUUGACGGGGACCCGCACAAGCGGUGGAUGAUGUGGAUUAAUUCGAUGCAACGCGAAAAACCUUACCUACCCUUGACAUGUGCGGAACUUCUGAGAGAUCAGUAGGUGCCCGAAAGGGAACCGCAACACAGGUGCUGCAUGGCUGUCGUCAGCUCGUGUCGUGAGAUGUUGGGUUAAGUCCCGCAACGAGCGCAACCCUUGUCAUUAGUUGCUACGCGUUAUGGUGAGCACUCUAAUGAGACUGCCGGUGACAAACCGGAGGAAGGUAAGGAUGACGUCAAGUCAGCAUGCCCCUUACGCUCUGGGCUACACACGUGCUACAAUGGUCGUGACAAAGAGUUGCUAGUCUGCGAAGGCAAGCCAAUCUCAUAAACGCGGCCUUAGUUCGGAUUG
rnacentral:rRNA from 1 species